rnacentral:misc_RNA from 1 species
GCAAACUUGGUCAUUUAGAGGAAGUAAAAGUCGUAACAAGGUCUCCGUUGGUGAACCAGCGGAGGGAUCAUUACAAGAAGCCGAAAGGCUGCUUAAAACCAUCGCGAACCUAUCCAUCAGCGUUGCUUCGGCGGGAGGAGGCCGCGGGGCCGGAGUCUGCCGGGCCCGGGGCCGGGGACCCGCACCCUCUCGGGGGGUGCGGGGCCCGCCCGCCGGAGGUAUGAAACUCUUCUGCAUCUAUAGUGGAAUCUCUGAGUAAGCAAGCAAAUAAGUCAAAACUUUCAACAACGGAUCUCUUGGUUCUGGCAUCGAUGAAGAACGCAGC